UUACAGGCAUGCACCACCAUACCUGGCCGAUAUAUAUUUUCCCGGAGCCUGUAAAGGUGAACCCACUGGGACUGGCUGGGGAAAAAGAGGAAGAUUUGUUCCAGAAGGAACUGUCUGAGGGAU
ensembl:snoRNA SNORD22 Small nucleolar RNA SNORD22